rnacentral:rRNA from 1 species
UGGGGAAUAUUGCACAAUGGGCGCAAGCCUGAUGCAGCCAUGCCGCGUGUAUGAAGAAGGCCUUCGGGUUGUAAAGUACUUUCAGCGAGGAGGAAGGCGUUGUGGUUAAUAACCGCAACGAUUGACGUUACUCGCAGAAGAAGCACCGGCUAACUCCGUGCCAGCAGCCGCGGUAAUACGGAGGGGGCAAGCGUUAAUCGGAAUUACUGGGCGUAAAGCGCACGCAGGCGGUCUGUCAAGUCGGAUGUGAAAUCCCCGGGCUCAACCUGGGAACUGCAUCCGAAACUGGCAGGCUAGAGUCUUGUAGAGGGGGGUAGAAUUCCAGGUGUAGCGGUGAAAUGCGUAGAGAUCUGGAGGAAUACCGGUGGCGAAGGCGGCCCCCUGGACAAAGACUGACGCUCAGGUGCGAAAGCGUGGGGAGCAAACA